AGAAGACAAAGGUUAAUCUUCAAUGUUUUGGACAUAAACAUUUAGCCUAAUUUAUUUUGCUCAGUUUCCUUUCCUUCUCUGCUGAAGCCAAUAAAAUGGAAUAUAAUUUGGAAGAUGUUAAAUGGCAGCUACUGAGCAAUUUGUGUAUGGCUAGACUGGAUUACUCUGCUUUAAUUAGAGGCUGCCUGAUGUUGAAGUACUGAAAUAAUUUACCUCUAUAACUAAGAGCACGACUCAAGGAAGCAUUUCCUGCUGCUGAAGUCUUUCAAACCAGGUAAGUCUUAAACCUAAUAACUUCCAUUGUGAGAAUGGGGCACUACCUUAACUCAUGGGUGUUCAAGCUUUUGGCUUGCCUGGGCUGCAUUCAGUGAAGAGCAAUUGUCUAGGGCCAUUAUCUGGAAAGGUUACUUGAAAAGUAAUGCCUAAUUAUUUCCAUGGAAACUACAACAGAUAACAAAGAACACAAUAACACUAUUUAACAGACCAAGUUCUCAGCCACAAAACACUGUUUUGCAACAUAGUUACCACUAUUAGUUAUGCUUUUUCAC
rnacentral:lncRNA from 1 species